GACCAAAAACCCUGACCCUUGGCGACAAAACGAUCCAAUUACAUAGUCUAAAAAUUGUGAUCCAAAAACAGUGAAGAGACCUAUGAAACAAAACAAACUCACUAAUCUUCUAGCCAAACUUGAAUCCUCCUGCAGGAACAUUAGGCUGGUUGUUUCCGAAUUGGAAACCUUGCGGAUUUCCAUCAGCACCAUCAGGGAGAUUUUGUUCUUCAUCUUCUUCAGCCCAGUAUUUCUCCAAGAUCUUUACAGCCUUCUCAUAUAUCUCAUUGUUAUCGUGAGUUUGGAGAUUCUCAAUCUUGUCCAAUCCAUCACAUUCAUCGAUCAUGUGUGUAUACAUAUUGAUUCCACCAUUCGUCCCAGCUUCUUUGUCCACCUCGCCCACCUUCAGUAUAUUCUCGAGCCCCUCCAAGCAUACUGUAACGAUUCUGGGAUCUGGACAAAUUAGGAGAUCACAUAGUGGCUUAAUGCAACCUUGACUAGUCAAGAACCUAAUCUGGUCAUUAGAUCCUCCAGAGGUAGCAUUAGAGAUAGCCCAAGCUGCCUCCUUCUUAAUGUCAAAUUCUGCAUUUUGCAAUAGGUGUACCAAAGGAAGAAUAAUAUUCGCCUCAAUAACAGCCUGUAUUUGGGCUCUGUUUCCAGCAGUGAUAUUAGAGAUUGUCCAACAUGCUUCUUUCUUGAUGCUUUUCUUGUGAUUUUGAGUUAACAAUUGAUACAGACAUGGCAAGACUUGGUUGUCAAUCACAAACUGUGUUUGAGCAUCAUCACCAGUAACAAUAUUUCCCGCAGUCCGGAGAGCAGGUAUGAGAACAGUAGGCGAUGGAUGAAGAAGAAGCUCCACUAGUCGUGGACAGACACCCGCAUCAAUUACAGCCUGAAUCUUAUCAUUUGGUCCAUCAGAUAAAUAAGAAAGAGCCCAGCAAGCAUCUGUCAAGACUUCUUCAUCGUUCAUGUGGAUAAGUUGUUGAAGAACUGGUAAUGCAGGUCUGACUGCCUCAAAUGGUGUUGGUGGUUUGCCACGACAGAAAUUAGAUAAAGUCCAAGUAGCAUUACGUAGCAUUGAUAGUUUAGAGUGUUCAUUUAACUGAGCUAGUAAUGGCAUCAGAGCACCAUGACCAAGAACAAGAUCCCUGCAACUUGGGGAGUCACCAGCAACAUUACCCAAAGCCCACACCGCCUGCUCUCUAACAUCAUCACUUGCAGAACCAAGAAGCUGCACAAACAUGGGAACCGCACCAUGAUCAAUGACAACUCGUGUAUGCUCUGAUGUACCAGAUGCAACAUUGGUCAAAGCCCAUGCAGCCUCAAAUUGUAAUUGGGGCAGAUCAUGCCUUCCAAGAAAUUCCACAAACCGUGGGACAACACCUGCUUUAAUUACUUCAUCAAUUGGAGGACUUCGUUCAAUUGAUAAUAGCUUUCUAAACUGAGUAGUUGCUUCCAACUGCAAAGCUGGAUCAUCAGACCACACUCCUUGAACCAUUACAGGAAUACUUUCCAACCGCUUUUCGAUGGCGGCGGCAUUUUGAGAUGCAUCGAGUAAAUGUUGGGACUGAAGCAAGAGCCCUUCUCUUCGCUUCUUCAAAAGAU
rnacentral:misc_RNA from 1 species